ACUGAGUGGGAGGAUCCAUACAAAUGUAUUUCAAUAGAACCAUUAAAGCUUAGCAAAAUCGCUCUCUAAUGGGUAACUGGUAAAGAGCUGGGCCAUAUGGGUUGAAAGGGAGCUCAUAAAGUACAGAAACUAGUUAAAUUGCACAUCUAGUGUAGAUUUGUUGAACUCAGAAAUAGGCCUGGAUGUCUUAAAAAAAAAAAAUAGUACUUUGGACUGCUUCAUACUCAGCUUCUCUGCAGCAGGUUAUUUUUUACAAUGCACUUUAUUAAAGUAUAAAUUGAUAUAAACCACAUUUAAAGCAUAUAAUUUGGUAAGUUUUGACUUCUGUGAAACCAUCACUGCAAUCAAGGUAGUGAACAAUAUCUGUCACUGCCAGACUUUUUGGUGUUCCCUCCUUUGUAAUCCUUCCCUCUUAUUACUACCUCCCUCCUUUCAGCACCCCUCCCCCUUUGGUAUGAAAUGUAAUUAAUGGGCAAAAAUCUUAUGGUAAUGGGUUUAAAAUAACACUUCAAAAAUUGUAUCCUAUUUGCUUUAUAUUAAGAUAAGGAUUAGAAUUAUUUAUAUUUCCAUAAAUCUAUUUCUAUUAAAGUUGAAAUAAAUGUAAAAGUGUUAACCUAAAAAAACAAAAAACAGGCAAUUUGCCAGAACAGGGAGGUGGUCGAUGUCUUUAUUCCCAAACCAUUCAGGUCCUCUGCCUUUGUUACAUUUGCAGAUGAUCGAGUUGCCCAGUGUCUCGGUGGAGAGGACCUGAUCCUUAAAGGAAUCGGCAUUCAUAUAUCAAAUGAUGAGCCUAAGCACAAUAAUAAUAGACAGAAGUGGAAGAUUUGGUGGUAAUCCAGGAGGCUUUGGGAAUCAAGAAGCAGAGAAAAAUUCCUUUGGGCAGCAGAGACUAACAGAAAAGCUAUCAACUAUUAACUUGAGCUCUCUCAAGGAGGGAAGCCCUUUAGUCAAGCAUUCUCAACUGAAGACUCUGCAGAAUGGAGCACCCUCAAGUCCCAGUUAUUAAAAAUAAAACUUACUUUACUCAGAAGUAAUAAAAGAGA
rnacentral:lncRNA from 12 species